AACAAAAUUACUACACUAGAUUGUUACUAUACUGCAUUGACCAAAACUUAACCAAGGAAGAAUUCUUUCAGAAUCUACGACCUAAGACUAACAUGUAUUCUAUGGUACAGUUAAAACAUGUUUAAAGAAAAGUGAUGUCAAGCUAAGUAUUCUGUUUUUGAAAGCAUUACACUGCUUGAUCAAAACAAAUUCAUGGCUGCAAAAUAAGACCAAGUUGAACUUAAGAAUGAUCGUAAUAGCAUUCACGACGCUUAUAUUCAAACUCUAGAUUCCACCAGUCGUCGAUCAAUUUUAAGGCAAAACACAAAUUACUCGUCAAAGAAAUCAGCAGAUGUGAACAAAUUGCACAUCAACAAACCAAAGACGAAUGGACCUAAUUUGGAAACUUAACUAUAAUCUAAACGCUUUAUUUUUCAACUACUCAUAUUCUAACACAUCGUGCAGCUAGAAGGAACAUCGCAUUACAAGAACAGAUUGACCAAACAACAUCCUCGAGCAUGAAUCGCAACUAGAAACUAACUCCAAACACAAUCCCUACUAAAAGACACCAAACAUCUAUCACUACAGAGUGAAUUCCCUACGGUUCAAUCAUAUUUCGAGCACCAUUUAACAUGAAUAGUAAGGAAAUAAAUGAACCUGAAAUUUGAGAUUUCGACUGUCACUUGAUGUUCAAAUGUGAUACAAGCAAAAAUUGUGCGAUGAACUUGGCAGGGACUGAUUGAACAUCGACAAUCCAAUCCGGAACCACGACCUUAAACCACGAACGACACCAGAGAGCUUCAAGCCCGAUCGGACCUCAGUUGAACUCCAUAUUGAGAUGAAAAAUCGAACAGAAAGAAGCGGUUGGAAUAUUAUUUUUUUUUAAGUUUCUGAUUUUUUUUUGAAAUGAAACAAAGAUUCGAACAAAAAUGAAACUCAAACAAUUUUUUUUCUGGAAUGCCAAUUAUAUGUGAAGCAGAAAAUCUGAGAAGAACACCCAAAAAAAUCAAGAACCCUAGUUUAUUUUUUCCGAAAUUCUCCUCUCCUGUCCAAAGAAAUCCAAAAUAUAUAGGGAUCCUAGAAGCUUCUUCUUGCAUCCUUUCCAAGAAUCGAAUCCGCGUAGACCACAAACAAAAUCCGAAAAUUCCAUUUUAACAAAAAUCAAAAAAUGGAAAUCUUGGAUCAAAAAUUAAUCCAACGACUCCCAUUUUUCAACAUUUAUUUCAAGGGCUCAUAUUUGCUUCCAAAUCGAACGAAAAAGAAAGAAAAAUGCGUUCUUCAUGAUAACGAACACGUGAAGAAGGAGAUGAGAGUAGAGGGGACCUGGGGGGACUAUUGGGUGAACUCACCGGGUUUGGGGCGAGUUUCGGCGAGUUGAGAGGCGGGCAGCGAUGAGCUGUGGCGGCUGGCGUUUGGAUAGGGUCUUUAGGGUUAGGUUUGGGGAGAUAA
rnacentral:lncRNA from 1 species